rnacentral:tRNA from 2 species
GGUGAGAUGGCCGAGCGGUUAAGGCGCUAGCUUCAGGUGCUAGUAACGAAAGUUGCGUGGGUUCGAGUCCCACUCUCAUCA